rnacentral:rRNA from 1 species
UCAGACGAUGCGUCAUGCAUAUCAAUAAGCGGAGGAAAAGAAACUAACAAGGAUUCCCCUAGUAACGGCGAGUGAAGCGGGAAGAGCUCAAAUUUGAAAUCUUAAAGGGUUUCCCUUUACGAAUUGUAGUUUAAAGAGGUGUUUUCUGUUGAGGUUUUGGUAAAAGUUCUUUGGAAUAGGACAUCAUAGAGGGUGAGAAUCCCGUAUUUGACCUUUACUUUCAACUUUGUGAUACACUUUCAAAGAGUCGGAUUGUUUGGGAAUGCAGUCCAAAAUGAGGUGGUAAAUUUCAUCUAAAGCUAAAUAUUGGCGAGAGACCGAUAGCGAACAAGUACCGUGAGGGAAAGAUGAAAAGAACUUUGAAAAGAGAGUUAAACAGUACGUGAAAUUGUCAAAAGGGAAGCGUUUGACACCAGUGUUGUUUUUCUGAAAAUCAAUUAAAGAACUGUUUAUGCUAAGCUGUUUAGACUUUAUCAGCUAUCUGUUUAGUUUUGAGCUUUUCUUUAAUGCACUUUUCAGUUAACAAGUCAACAUCAAUUUCUUUUGCUGUAAAAAAGCUUGAGGAAGGUGGCUUGAGAUUCGUCUUAAGUGUUUAUAGCCUCUUGCCUACGCAGUCGGAGAGAUUGAGGUCUGCAGCGUAGAUCCUUCGGGGCUAAAUGCAUUUGUGCUAAGUUAUAGCAUUUUAUAGACAACUUGUUGACUAUGAUUUGUCUUGUAGCUUACUCGCUUAUGUUAUUUUACCUACGCUUAGGAUGUUGACACACGCGCGUGCUCG